CCUACGGGGGGCUGCAGUGAGGAAUAUUGGUCAAUGGGCUUACGCCUGAACCAGCCAAGUCGCGUGAGGGAAGACUGCCCUAUGGGUUGUAAACCUCUUUUGUCAGGGAGCAAUUGGCGCUACGUGUAGCGUUAUCGAGAGUACCUGAAGAAAAAGCAUCGGCUAACUCCGUGCCAGCAGCCGCGGUAAUACGGAGGAUGCGAGCGUUAUCCGGAUUGAUUGGGUUUAAAGGGUGCGUAGGCGGAAUGCCAAGUCAGCGGUAAAAUCGCGGGGCUCAACCUCGCUCCGCCGUUGAAACUGGCGUUCUUGAGUGGGCGAGAAGUAUGCGGAAUGCGUGGUGUAGCGGUGAAAUGCAUAGAUAUCACGCAGAACUCCGAUUGCGAAGGCAGCAUACCGGCGCCCAACUGACGCUGAAGCACGAAAGCGUGGGUAUCGAACAGGAUUAGAUACCCUGGUAGUC
rnacentral:rRNA from 1 species